rnacentral:rRNA from 1 species
CUACGGGAUGCUCCAGUGAGGAAUAUUGCACAAUGGGGGGAACCCUGAUGCAGCAACGCCGCGUGGAGGAUGAUGCAUUUCGGUGUGUAAACUCCUUUUAUAUGUCAAGAAAAUGACGGUAGCAUAUGAAUAAGCACCGGCUAACUCCGUGCCACGCAGCCGCGGUAAUACGGAGGGUGCAAGCGUUACUCGGAAUCACUGGGCGUAAAGGACGCGUAGGCGGGUUGGAAAGUCAGGUGUGAAAUCCUACAGCUUAACUGUAGAACUGCACUUGAAACUUCUAAUCUAGAGUAUGGGAGGGGGAGAUGGAAUUAGUGGUGUAGGGGUAAAAUCCGUAGAUAUCACUAGGAAUACCUAAAGCGAAGGCGAUCUCCUGGAACAUUACUGACGCUAAGGCGCGAAAGCGUGGGGAGCAAACAGGAUUAGAUACCCUAGUAGUC